UUUUAUCUGCUAGCAGGAGUUCAUAACUCCAUCUGUCCCCUUUCUAUUUUGUCCUCUAAUAACCUACCGAGUUUUAGGUUAAACCAAUAUUUAGUGUUUACCUCUAAAUGAUAUUGUUUGCUGCUGAUCCAUUGCUUGUACACUGAAUUCUAGUUUUGAUAAUUUGUUUUUGUAUUUUAUUUUUUAACCUAUCUAAAAUUCUUGUUUUUCAGUACUCGGGAUUAAACCCAGGUUUUUGUGCUUGCUAGGCAAGUACUCUAGCAUUGAGCUACAUCCCCAAUUUGAGCGAGUCUUGACGAAGGUGAAUCUGAGCAACACUCAAAGGAGGAGUGUAUGUGUUCCCGUCACUGGUUCUGGUCAAUGGUCACUCAGCUAUCUUGUCGUGGAGGGUAGAGAUGCGGAAUCAAAACACAGACUCCAGGAGCUGCACCUUCAGAAAAUUGAGAAGGCUCAAGUUUAGCAUGUUGAAGACAAGGCUGUAUCCUUUCUUGUGAAAAGUUUUUUUUUGCUUGAGGAUUGGCCAUGUUGGCAGAAUGUGCCCUGUUGACCCAUAUCUUUGCAGGACCCAGAGGGAGGUGAAGGAAUUAGGUAAGCAGUGGUUUCCAUGGUUUCAGGGGUGUGUCCAACAGUGUCCCCUGCAGGUCAGAACCUGGCCACUGGGCUCUGUAGUUUUCUGCGGCAGAUGAAAGUGAUGUACCUCAUUGAGGCAUUGAGCAGCAGCGCUGAAUAAGUGUUCUCUCAGAUGACCUGAUUGAAGUGGACUGAAGUGUCACUCACAUGGCUGCUUUUGAAUUUAGACUGAAAGCCCUUACCUGACCGUCUAACAGAUUCAGAGGGCAUAAGAAGCUGGUUUUUACUGUAAAAGAGAAUGAACCUCCACUUGGUGAGCUUGUGAGAUUUACUUAACACAAGAAACUGUAUUGAGGCUUGUUUAAACCCAACAGCUCCUCUUCCAGCAUUGUUACCCCCAUUUUACGAUAAAGUCAGUGAGGCACAGAAAAGCCUAGUGGCUUGCCAGGGUUAGACUGUUGGAAGAGAGAAGCAGGAUUUACACUGAGGUACACUGGUUCUAGAGAUGAAGCUUCUAAUCUCUGUGCUGCUAACUCUGAGUCUUUAUUUUUACAUCUGUCAGAUGGGAACAUAAGCCUGUAUCACACAGGAUCACAGGGUUAAAUGAGAUAAAGUAAAUAAAGCACACGGUGUACCACAAGACCUCCACAAGAGGUAUUUUUCAGCUUUCAUACAGAUAGGAGGCAAAGAAAAAAUCCACUUUAUGGUCAAAUACAUCUGGGAAAUUCUAGGCUAGACAAAGUAUCUUCCCUGUAGGAUUUCUAAGAGCCUUUGGUUGUUAAAUAUAUUGUCAAUCUUCAAUAAGUGAGUGUAAUAUUUCUUAAGCUUGCUUCAUCACAGAAGUACUUUGUCAUAGGGUGUUUCCCACAUUUCUAGAAAUACUGGAAUAAUGUAAAACAUAAAAUUUUGUGCAAAUGAUGGUACAUCAUAAACAUUAGUUAUUCAGCCAUUCAUGUAAGAUUUAAAGAACUAACUAAACUUUCUCUUAACUAGAGGACUUUCCCCCAGAAUUUCUGCCUACCAGCUACGGUAGGGAAAGACAUUAUUUUAAAUUAAUGGCACAAUUCUUCCUGAGCAUUCCUCUUUGCUCAUAAUCAUGUCUCAGUUCAAGUGUCCUUACUGUAAAAUAUAAGACUCACAUACUAGCAUAGCUCAUCUCAUCAUAUGUUUUCAUUACAAAAUUGCUUUCAUUUGUCUCCUAUCUUAGAUACUUACAGUGAGAAAAACUUGCCUCUAUAGAAAAUAUGAAUAGACACAAGUAAAGACUCCAAAAGUGUCAGGAUAGGUAUUAUGAAGAUAGUGUUUUUUUUUUAAGAGAUAGGGAGCCUAUCAGAUAACUGGGUGAUUAAUUAUGUCUCAAAGUGUACCCAGUUUAAUUAUCCAAUAUUAUUAGACGAGGAAUAUGGUCUGUCCUGCUUUCUUAUAAGGUUGUCAGAAGAAGCAUUCAGUGACAAGUAUGGUCAGACAUCCACGUCUAGGGGUUUUGCAUCUGCAGUUUCAACUAACCAUGGCUCAAAAAUGGUUGAAAAAAAUUGCAUCUGCACUGGACACAUAUACUUUUUCUUGUGUCAUUAUUCCCUAAAUAGUGUAGUUAAACAACUACUUUUGUAGCAUUUUCUUUGUAUCAGGUGUUCUAAAUAAUUUAGAGAUGAGUUAAAGUAUGUGGGAGGAGUCAGGUGCAGUGGCAUGUGCCUGUACUGGAGGCUAAGGCAGGAGGACUCCUUGGGUUCAGGAGUUCAAGACCAGCCUGUGCAACACAGUGAGACCAUAUUUCAAAACACACACACACACACACACACACACACACACACACACACACACACACGGUAUUCAGGAGAUGUGAUAGGUAAUAUUUACAUAUUUCACAUGUUAUAAAAUGGACUGUAGCAUCAUGGGUUUUUGGUAUUCUCAGAUGAGCCCUGGAACCAAUACCCUGUGGAUACUGAGGGAUGGAUACUGUGCUGAUGAGCUGCUUUCGAGAACGAUUUCCAGCACUGCUUUGUACUACCUCUGGGUUCUCAACAGAAAAGUUACGAGUUAAAACUGUAGACAUCAACUUGUUGAACUAAACCCUGUUCACAAGAUGAUUUAUUUUGGGUCUAAAGUGCUACUUUAAACUUUGAAUCUUUAACCAAUUAUAUUUUUAUGUGUGGUCUUAUAUAUAUGUUAGUAUGGAAGUACAACAUUAAUCUGUAAAAAAUGAAUAUUUGUGCAAUUAAAAUAAUUGGGCAACUUUUCGGUCCAACUUUUAUGACUUUGCCCAUUUGUGUGAAAUUUCAUAACUUGAGUUUUUUUCCUUUUUCUUUUUCUCUUGGUGUGGUGCUGGGGACAGAAUCUUCAUGCACACCAGGCAACCACUCUAUCACUGAGCUAUAUCCCCAGCCCUAACUUGAGAGUUUUUAAUGCACAAAUGUUUUAUAUAAAAGUUUUUUAAUGACUUGAUUGCAUUUUGGAUGUAGAUUGUUUUAAAUCCAAGUUGCCCUCCCGUGUGUAGGUAGGUUUCUCAGCCCUGCCACUAAAUGUCCCCAGAUUGUUACAAUGCUUGGUGUUAUUCUUUUUUCUCUCUUUUCCUUCACUCUUACAUGACCUGUUUUUCUUUUUUCUUUUAAAAGUUUUCUGAGUUGUAGGUGGACACAAUACCUUUAUUUUAUUUAUGUGGUGCUGAGGAUCAAACCCCGGGCCUCACACAUGCGAGACAAGAGCUUUACUGCCGAGCCCCAGCCCCAGCCCCCAUGACCUGUUUUUCUCUUGGAUUGCUUUGUUCUGCCUGUCUCCAUGGGUACUUUUAAUUUAUUUUGGGGAAGGAAACUAGAGAGCAGGUGUAAGAGGACAGCUCUGAAACACACUCUUAGGACUCCUAGUGGUGCUCACAGUGGUGAGCACCAGGACUCUGGGGCAGGGCCUCAGGCACCAACUCAGAGUCUUAUGCCUUCUGAGCUUCUUUUUAAAAUUAAAUUUUUGCCCUCUGGAUAAUUAACAGCAAUAAUCACAAACAAAAUAAAACAGUGCUUUCUAAGAAUUACAAAAGACAAACAUGCCCACUUUAGAGAAUUUGGAAAACACAGAAGGUACAAAAAAGCUCAUUUAAAAAAUUACAAUUCCAGAGCUCAAUAUAACCCCUGUAAACAUUUGUGUGUUUCACUGCAUGUAUUUCAUUUAUUUAUUUUAUGUAUAUUUUAUAAAAUUUGGUUUAUACUGCAUUUAGGAUUUAAACUUUUCAUUUAACAGUGUUAGUAAACAUCUCCUCUGUCAUGACAUUUUCUUCAUUUUUGUGGCUACAUUCAUCACAUGGAUGUGCCCUAAUUUAUCUAACUAUACCCAUGUUGGAACUGUAUGAUACCUUACUAAAGACUAUGAAGAAGAACCUGAUAAAUAAAUAUUUGUCCUCAUCUCUAAUCAUUUUUAGAAUCAAUUCUCAGAAAUGAAAAAAAAAACUGGGUACAAGAUAUGAAAUGCA